UAGCUUGCUAGAUGAUGUCGAGUGGCGGACGGGUGAGUAAUGCUUGGGAACUUGCCUUUGCGAGGGGGAUAACAGUUGGAAACGACUGCUAAUACCGCAUAAUGUCUUCGGACCAAACGGGGCUUCGGCUCCGGCGCAAAGAGAGGCCCAAGUGAGAUUAGCUAGUUGGUGAGGUAAAGGCUCACCAAGGCAACGAUCUCUAGCUGUUCUGAGAGGAAGAUCAGCCACACUGGGACUGAGACACGGCCCAGACUCCUACGGGAGGCAGCAGUGGGGAAUAUUGCACAAUGGGGGAAACCCUGAUGCAGCCAUGCCGCGUGUGUGAAGAAGGCCUUCGGGUUGUAAAGCACUUUCAGUUGUGAGGAAAAGUUAGUAGUUAAUACCUGCUAGCCGUGACGUUAACAACAGAAGAAGCACCGGCUAACUCCGUGCCAGCAGCCGCGGUAAUACGGAGGGUGCGAGCGUUAAUCGGAAUUACUGGGCGUAAAGCGCACGCAGGCGGUUUGUUAAGCUAGAUGUGAAAGCCCCGGGCUCAACCUGGGACGGUCAUUUAGAACUGGCAGACUAGAGUCUUGGAGAGGGGAGUGGAAUUCCAGGUGUAGCGGUGAAAUGCGUAGAUAUCUGGAGGAACAUCAGUGGCGAAGGCGACUCCCUGGCCAAAGACUGACGCUCAUGUGCGAAAGUGUGGGUAGCGAACAGGAUUAGAUACCCUGGUAGUCCACACCGUAAACGCUGUCUACUAGCUGUUUGUGACUUUAAGUCGUGAGUAGCGAAGCUAACGCGAUAAGUAGACCGCCUGGGGAGUACGGCCGCAAGGUUAAAACUCAAAUGAAUUGACGGGGGCCCGCACAAGCGGUGGAGCAUGUGGUUUAAUUCGAUGCAACGCGAAGAACCUUACCUACACUUGACAUGUUGAGAAGUACCAGAGAUGGUUUCGUGCCUUCGG
rnacentral:rRNA from 1 species